GCAGGGCGUGGUUGCAUGCCUGUGGUCCCAGCUACUCAGGAGGUUGAGGCUGGAGAAUCGCUUCAGCCCAGGAGUUCUGGGCUAUAGUGUGCUAUGCCAAUUGGGUGUCCACACUUAGUUCGGCAUCAAUAUGGUGACCUCCCGGGAGUGGGGGGCCACCAGGUUGCCUAAGGAGGGGUGAACCGGCCCAGGUCGGAGAUGGAGCAAGUCAAAGCUCCCGUGUUGAUCAGUAGUGGGAUAGCGCCCGUGAAUAGCCGCUGCACUCCAGCCUGGGCAACAUAGCGAGACCCCGUCUCAU
rnacentral:SRP_RNA from 1 species